CAGCCGCCGCGGGAAUACGAGGGGGGCAAGCGUUGUUCGGAAUUAUUGGGCGUAAAGGGUGCGUAGGCGGUUUGAUAAGUCUUGUGCGAAAUCUCUGGGCUCAACCCAGAGUCUGCACAGGAAACUGUCGGGCUUGAGAGUGGGAGAGGUGAGUGGAAUUUCCGGUGUAGCGGUGAAAUGCGUAGAUAUCGGAAGGAACACCUGUGGCGAAAGCGGCUCACUGGACCAUUUCUGACGCUGAUGCACGAAAGCUAGGGGAGCAAACAGGAUUAGAUACCCCUGUAGUCCCUGUCUCUUAUAC
rnacentral:rRNA from 1 species